rnacentral:lncRNA from 1 species
CGCCGCCGCACCUCUUUUUCUCUUCCUCUUCCCUCCAUCGUCCACUUUAGCUACUUUUCAGUCGAUUGAAAAUUUAUGUUUGGGUCAGUCGAUUUUUUCCCCACUGCCAUAUGCACUUGACUAGCGCUACAAUGUGCAUGCAGCUGAGGCAUGCAAGCUUGCUUAAUUAGCGUGAGUGCUAAUCACUAGACCGAUGACAUGCGGACGAAAAAUACUAAUCUGUGUGUUUCUUGGGCAGUGCCAAUUUAAAUUUAAAGAGAAAUUUUAUGGUGCUUUUGCUAUUUGAUAGUGUCUAAAGAAAACCGGUUCAUGCUAUUUUUUCUUUUCUUUUUAUGUGUUUCUGUUUCUCUUUUUUGUCUUGAGUCAUUUUUAUGCACUUAGCUACUUGUAAGUUGCCUGAAUUUUAAAUUUGGGUUAGUCGAUUUUUUGGCCGUUGAUUUUUGCUUUGUGAUUCAUGUAGUAUUUUUUUUAUGCAUGUGCUACUUGUUGCACUGGGCUUGUUUGCUUCGAUUGGCCGCAUAUUUGAGUCAGUCGAUUGCCACUGGACCGAAGCCCGUUAAGAGCGCGAUCCAGCAUUCAUCUCUCUCCCUUUGUUUUUUUUGUCGGUAUUUUGCUUCAUUUUUUAUUUCUAUUUUCUGUUUCUAUGUGUUCCUUUUCUUUUUCUCUUUCCUUUAUUAGUUAUUUUUUGUUACUUUGUGAGUUGUUGGCCCUCUCCUCGACCCCUUUCUUCUUUUCUGCUUUUAUUUGGUUUUUUGCUUUGGUUUUUUGUUUUCCUUUAUGGUUAGUUUGUUUUUCUUUUGUGGAUGUUGGGUCAAUGUAAAUGUAUACACACAAAUACUAUAAAGUAUAUGGAAAGCUUGUGCUAUUAUAUUUAAUUCUUUGCAUACUGCAAAAUGUGCAAUUUCAGUGCAAAGUGGUGUGCAAGUUUUUUUUCUUUCUUUUGAAAGGGUAAUACCAAUGUCAAUAAUUCAAUUUUUUUCUCUAAAACUUAAUUAUUUUGAUCUUUUAGUUAUUGUUUUAUUCUUUUUUAAGUUACUAACAAUGCCACUAAUUCAUUUCUCCUUAGGAAACUUUUUUGCGGAAGUUUCACUAUUAUAUGCUUAUUCUUGCAUAUUUGAAAAAAAAGAAAUUUGUGUGUAUAUUCUGUGCAAAUUUUGUUCUUGAUUGUUUUAGAUUUAUUUUUAUGUGUGUAAGUAUAAAUGCAAGUACUAAAUAAUAUGUGUGUGAAUUAUAGUAGAAUGUGGAAUUUGUGUAUGGAAGUUUUGGAUGUUGGGUCAGUGUAAAUGUAUACGCACAAAUUAUAUAAAGUACCUGGAAAGAUUGCACUAUUAUAUAAUUAUUCUUUGCGUACUACUAAAUGUGCAAUGUCAGUGCAAAGUGGCGUGCAAGUUUUUUUCUUUUUAAAGGGUAAUACUAUUGCCACUAAUUCAUUUUUCCUAUAAAACUUUAUUAUUUUGAUUUUUUUAGUUAUUGUUAUUUUUCUGUAAGUUAAUAACAAUGCCACUAAUUCAUUCCUCCUUAGGAAACUUUUUUGUGAAAGUUUCACUAUUGUAUGCAUAUUCUUGCAUAUUGGCAAAAAGCGUAAUUUGUGUGUAUAUUUUGUGCAAAUUUUGUUACUGUUUGUUUUAGAUUUAUUUUUGUGUGUGUAAGUAUAAAUGCAAGUACUAACUAAUACUCCCUCCGUCCGGAAAUACUUGUCAUCAAAAUGGAUAAAAGGGGAUGUAUCUAUAAUGACAAGUAUUUCCGGACGGAGGGAGUAUGUGUGUAAAUUAUAGUAGUAUGAAAAUUGCACUAUUAUAUGCUUAUUCUUUUCAUAUUUCAAAAAAUGAAAAUUGAGUGCAAGUUUUGAAAGGGUUUCAUUUUUUAUAAAACUUCAUUAUUUUGAUUUUGAUUUUGUUUUAUUUUUUAUUUUCUUUCUUUUGGAAGGGUAAUAUCAGUGCCACGAAUUUAUUCUUCCAUAGAAAACAUUAUUUUUAUAUUGUUUUAAUUUUUAUUUAGUUUAUUGAUUUAGAUUUAUUUUUAUUUUCUUUUCUUUUGUAAGGAUAACACCGAUAUCACUAAUCCAUUACUUUUUAGAAAAUAUUUUGUGUGUGGAAAUCUUACUAUUAUAUGCUCAUUUUUCUAUAAUCUCACUAAUAUGUUUGUGGUGAGUAGUUGAUUGAUAUUUGUGUAGCCUGUUAUGUGCUCUUCAUCUUUCUUUCUUUUUAAUAUGAGCUACGUGGACGGGGAUGUGUUGUAUUUUGGCCUCAUCAUAUACGUGCAUACAUACAUAGGUAUGCUUGUAAUAUAUGGUUACAUAUGGAGCUGCUUGCCAUGUAUGCAUGCACCUGUAGACAGCAAUUAAGUGGAUGUACUACGGAGGGGAGUUCGUCCUUACAUGCAUUAGCUCCGACGGUGGCAUCAUUACUUGCUCCUAAUAGUCACGGCCCAAAGAAAUCACAAAGAGGCCAGAAGUGACUGACCCAAAUACGAUAUCAGUCGAUUGACAUGUAGUCAAUCCCUCCAUCGUCACCACAGCCCCGGUCCGCUGCCUCCUCCUCUCGUCAGCCACCGCCGCACGAACCUCCCGAGUUGGGGCGGGCACAGAAGGCCGUGGCGAGUCUGGGACCGCAUCCGUCCUCCGUCCCUCGUCGGCCGCCGCUACUGCUUAUCCUCUCUCCUGUCCUGGCCUUGUCUCCUGCGACUGGUGGUGGAAAGCCAUGGGUGGUGGAGAGGAGGAAGGGAGGUAGGCGAACAACGGAGAAGGGGAUGGACGGGGGCUUCACUCCCAGAUUUUGUGCCCCGAGCCAUGGAUGGCUGAGAGAAGGAAGUGGCCUACGCUCCUUUCUCAGGUUUUUUGCAAUGGUGCUUCUCCGCUGGAUGGGUACAGCUGGUUGAG